UACCUGCCCUUUAGUGGGGGAUAACACGGCGAAAGUCGUGCUAAUACCGCAUGUGAUCGCAAGAUCAAAGCCUUCGGGCGCUAAAGGAGGGGCCUGCGUCUGAUUAGCUAGUUGGUAGGGUAAAAGCCUACCAAGGCAACGAUCAGUAGCUGGAUCGAGAGGUUGACCAGCCACACUGGGACUGAGAUACGGCCCAGACUCCUACGGGAGGCAGCAGUAAGGAAUCUUCCACAAUGGACGAAAGUCUGAUGGAGCAACACCGCGUGCAG
rnacentral:rRNA from 1 species